AUUUCCCGUUUGUAAUCUAAAAUGACUGAAAAUUGGAAACUUCGCAAGGCUAUAUUAUCCGCAUUUUACAACAUUUUGCAACGAAACUUUGGAACAUUACUAAUUUUGUGAUGCUCUUUCAAGCUGUGAUGAAAUUUUUGUCUAGACUUGUUGAGUUCAAAAUUUUGGUUAAUUGGGGAAUGGUUACACAAACUUUAGCUUUGAUUUUCUCGGUUUAUUUUUAAAAUUACGUCGCCAAAUUGCAAUGGCAAUGAACGCAUACGAUGGGUGUUUUUUAAGCCAUUUAAAACACGCAAUUGUGUUUAUCCGGGGGCGUAAAUGUGUGUGGGCGGGGGGGUCAUUCCCCAGAGAAAUGAUCCGGUCAGUCUCAAAAUAAGUGCAGUCUGUCUCAAAAUUAGUUUGUUUGCAUGCCGUGCUUUACAAAGCAAACUAAAUAUUUUCGAAGCUCGGCGACAUAUCAAACGGUUGCCCUAUUGAGUGCAAAUUUGCUCAAACGGAAUCGAGCGCUAGCAGCUGAAAUAAUAUGAGAAAAAGAAAAUUACGUAUGUAUUUCGCUAGGUUAUGAACGAAUUAUCAGUCAAAACACGCGCCAAGUGAUGAAGUUUCCAUAUGCUUUCCAAACACGGAGAUAUUUAUACAAUUACGUGGUCUCUAAACAGCGUAUCAAAAGCACUCCUGCUCGUGCAUGUUUAAAUAGUAGCCUUCUGCAGGGCCUAUUUUAGUGUGCAGUCAGUCAGAGGUGUGCAGUAUUGCACACUUGGUGCAGUAGUAUUGGAUAAAAAGUGUGCAGUAUUGAAUGCGAAAGUGUGCAGUAUUGAGGCAUGUAGUAAAACAUGGACUGGACUCAUUAGUAAAACAUGGACUGGACCCGAUUAGUAAAACAUGGACUCUAUUAGUAAAACAUGGACUCGAUUAGUAAAACAUGGACUCGAUUAGUAAAACAUGGACUCGAUUAGUAAAACAUGGACUCGAUUAGUAAAACAUGGACAUUAGUAAAACAUGGACUCGAUUAGUAAAACAUGGACUCGAUUAGUAAAACAUGGACUCGAUUAGUAAAACAUGGACUUUAUUAGUAAAACAUGGACUCGAUUAGUAAAACAUGGACUCGAUUAGUAAAACAUGGACUCGAUUAGUAAAACAUGGACUUUAUUAGUAAAACAUGGACUCGAUUAGUAAAACAUGGACUUGAUUAGUAAAACAUGGACUCGAUUAGUAAAACAUGGACUCG